AUUUUAAAAAUUUGCCAAACAAAAAUCUGCACAUUUUCUCUCCAAAAUAACUAACCUCCUUGAUUUUCUCUUCUGCCAAACACAAAAUUUCCUCUCAAUUUUCGAGAAAACUCUCAAAAUCUUCACCAAUUCUCUCAUUCUUUUCUAGUUCAUUUUUCUUUUCCAAUCAAGGUUGCUGGGAUGUUUCUACAAAAAUUGCAAACAAUGUCACGACGACAUUCGGAUGUCAUCAGGACAAGGGAUUAGCAUUGGGACACCCUAUGUCAUGUUGUCGUGAUGAGUGUUUUCGAAGCUUCCUCGGAUUGGGAGUUGUCGGAGAUCUAAUCACACUAUUCAGCUGUCAUUUUGGUACUUUUGAAAUUAUAUAUUUAGUUAUAUGGCAUGUAUAGGAGUUGUGGUUAUAUGUUGGUAAUGGAUUUAGCCAAUUAAUUUGGCUUGUAAAUGUUGUAAGUUUUGGUUAUGUGUAUAGCCAUGUGAUUUGGCUCAUUUUGGUAUACUUAGUGUUAUAUAUAUAUAUGUGUGUGUGCAAAUGGUCUUUUGUUACGUGGUUGGUAAUUGUCAUGUGAAUGCUUGUUCGUGGAUUGGUAUUUUGAGUAUCAAAUGGUUGAAAUUUGAGAUUGGUA